UCAUCCUUUUCAAAUACUUUUUAUUUUAAUAGCACGAUUAAAAAACAAAUAAAUUCAGAUCAAUUCAAAGGAAGUGGUUCAAACUUAAUAAAAAACUAAACAUAAAUUUUAAAUCCAGUGUUAUAUUAAGCAGCAUACAUAAGACAUGCACUACCUGAAUAACAGUAACAUUAUUUUAGCUUCAAUUACCACUGCUGUGCAGGUUUGGGGUUCCACUAGUGCGUUGUUAUUUAUAUGGAAUUGGAAAACGUGUACUGGAUUACACAGAAGGGAACAGGUUUUGUUUCUAUUGUCACAGAUCUCAUAUAAAUUCACUGAUUUCGCUUUAAUCACCACAGGUCGAGUAUCUGACUCCAGAAACACUGGGACACAGCAACGUUUGUCCCAUUUGGUUGUGUUCAUGUUUGGCUCAGUGGUGGUGGUUCUUGUGAACGCGGUUGUGUUAUUAGUGGAGCUGAUCCUAAAAGCGUAAACUGGCCAGCGUACAGUAGAUCUGCGCGUCGUUCUCCUACCGACUGAAUGCGUCUUUGCUGUGUGCUGCCUUGCUUUACAAAUAUCUGCUUACUGGAAGGAGAACAGAGAAGAGUACGUGAGUAUUGCUGA